UCCCCCUCCGGCCCCGUAGGGUUUCCUCACUCCCCCCAUUUCCCCUCCCCGCACUCGACGGCGCCGCCGGAGCUUUCUUCCGCCGCCGGCCAUGCCCACCCACCCAAGCUGAUCGAUCUCACCCAAGCUGAUGGAGAACGGAUGCGUAUCAGCCCGGAUCAGGUCGUCCUCUUCUCCUCCCGGCGGCAGCGACACGGCGGCCGAGAGACUCACCGACGACCUCCUCGUCGAGAUCCUCUCGCGCGUGCCCGCCAGGUCGCUCUGCCGCUUCAAGUGCGUCUCCAAGCACUGGCUCGGCCUCAUCAACGACCGCACCUACCGCCGGAAGCUGCCCCAGACCCUGGCCGGCUUCUACGACGGGGGUCAAUUUGUAGAUUCAGGUCUUCCUUUCACCAAUAUCUCGGGAAGCCGCCAUCUCACAUAUCCCGCCUUCCUGCCCGGCCGCCGGCGGGUCAUGGUCGAGGACUGUUGCAACGGCCUCCUUCUCUUCUCCUCAUACGUUGCUGGCGACCAUGGCGACGAGUUAUACGUUGUGUGCAAUCCCGCCACAGAGGAAUGGGCUGAGUUGCCGCAUUCCGGCUAUUCCAGCUAUUCCGGUGAUGUGUCUAGUAUAAACUUGUGUUUUGAUCCAGCCGUGUCCCCCCAUUUCCAUGUGUUUUUGUUGCCGGCCGUGGAGGUGGAUGACCAACAUGGCUUCUGUAUUACCGGAGUGCAUGUCUAUUCAUCUGAAACCGGGAGUUGGGUUCAUAAGGAGAAGAGAUGGAGCGGCAAUAUUGAUGUCGGUUAUGAUCCGUCAUUUAUCUAUCUCAAUGGUUAUCUGCAUUUUUGCGCCAUUGUUGAUGAUUCUGCCCGCCAGCUAGCUGCAGUGGACAAGGAGGGGGGAGCAAGGACUGACUUUCGUGUUCCUGAUGGUCUGGAUGUUGGUUUUAUUCAGCAGUCACAGGGCUGCCUGCAUUAUGCUGGUUUUGACAGAGAUGGCAAUGAUGAUGAUGUUGAUUGACUGCUAGUUUAUGUUCUUAAAGACUAUGACAGCAAAGAAUGGAUACUGAAGCAUAGCGUCGAAACUUCACAUCUGUUUGCAGGGCGACACGCAGUCAGCCUUUAUGAGGACUUUGAUUGGAUUGCAAUUCAUCCAGAAUGUAACUUGAUCUUCUUCACUCUGGCCUGGGAGGAUAUCACAUUCAUGUGCUAUGAUAUGGAUCGUGGGCAAGUUAAAGUGAUCUGCAAUCUUGAAGAAAGCGAGCCACCAUAUUUUCCGUAUGUUCCACUAUAUGAAGAGUUACAAUCGUUGCACAAGUGAUGUCUUAUUCGUGCUAUGGAGCAGCGAGCAUGGUCUACUAUUUUGUAGGCACAGACGAGUACUGCAUUGAGGAACCAGCGAAGAAAAUAAGCACAUAUGCACAAAUCUGAGGUAGGCUUAUCAUUUUCUUCUUCCAAUCCAUUUAUCUUGAGAUCAUUUCCCACAAAAGGCAUACAUGAAGACAGUCGUGGGACAAAUAAUAUCUAUUUACUUUUGCCCAUAAAAUCCAUAUACAACGGCUAUAAUACCUGCUGUCUGCAGUACAGUUUAUCCUGUGCCAAAGCUUGUUAGGUGAUUUCGAUUUACUAUAUAAGAUUUUUUUGUUUCUUUCCUUGAGGUCAGUGCUUGUUGCACACUUUUAUGUCAUGUCUCAAAGAAAGGUGUGGAAACAUGCAUUUUCUGGACAUGAUAUUCCUGCCAAAUGCUUCCUAUAGACUAUGCAUCAUGCUUAGAUGAUUCUUCUGUUCAGUACCAGAAGAUCACAAGUAGAUCGAGUUGUUGCAUGUUUGAACCAGCCACACCAACGUGCCUGAGUUCAAUCAAACCAUCAAGAGCUACCAAAAUGAAUCCGUGCAUGAUUAAAAUUAGUAUUGAAAGGUAUUUAAUCUGCCAAUAAAUGGUUUCCUUAUUUAUACCUCCAAACAUUGGUGCACAGCCUAAUGAAAUUGCAGUUUCUACACGCAAAGGGGAAUAUUCCACUGUAUAAAGGGCUCUAGAACUAUUAGCUGUAAUGCAUUAUAAGGUACUCCCUCCGUAAACUAAUAUAAGAGCGUUUAGAUCACUAUUUUAGUGAUCUAAACACUCUUAUAUUAGUUUACAGAGGGAGUACAACCUUAGUUUUAAACAUUUUGCAUACUAACAGAUAUGUAUUGUGAUUUUAAUUUGCGUCUCUGCAGCAAUUUGACUAUUCUUUGUCUUUUACGAUGUGGAUCCGCGGCACCGUGAGAGAGGUAACGUCGGCCGGUGCCUCACCACUGGCUAUUGUGGCGGCGGCAAGGAAAAGGGCGCCGAGGAUGUGCUGCUCUGUGCACGGUCGUUGAAGUACUAUGAUCAUGUUUCUCCUCAACGACCAUAUCAAUCUGGCUGGCGUUUGCACAUGUGAUUUUGGUUGAGGAGCGCACGCUGAUCCAAUGGACAGGAGGGAAGCCGCUAACGCAUUCCGGCUAUCCCGGUGAGGUGUCUAAUAUAAGCUUGUGUUUUGAUCCAGCCGUGUCCCCCUAUUUCCAUGUGUUUUUGUUGCCGGCCGAGGAGGUGGAGGACCAACAUGACUUCUGUCUUACCGGGGUGCAUGUCUAUUCAUCUGAAACCGGGAGUUGGGUUCAUAAGGAGAAGAGAUGGAUCGGCAAUAUUGAUGUCGCUAAUGACCGGUCAACUAUCUAUCUUAAUGGUUAUCUGCGUUUCUGCGCCAUUGUUGAUGGUUCUGCCCGUCGUCUAGCUGCAGUGGACGAGGGGGGAGCAAGGACUAACUUUCAUAUUCCUGAUGGUCUGGAUGUCAGUUUUAUUCAGCAGUCAUAGGGCUGCCUGCAUUAUGCUGGUUUUGACAUAUAUGACAAUGAUGAUGAUGUUGUUUGACUGCUAGUUUAUGUUCUUAAAGACUGUCACAGCAAAGAAUGGAUACUGAAGCAUAGCAUCGAAACUUCGCAUGUGUUUGGAGGACGACGGAUAGAGGACCUUGAUGAGCACUUUAAUUGGAUUGCAAUUUAUCCAGAAUGUGACUGACCUUCACUGUGGGCCGGGAGGAUAUCGUCGAAACUUCGCAUGUGUUUGGAGGACGACGCAUAGAGGACCUUGAUGAGCACAUUAAUUGGAUUGCAAUUUAUCCAGAAUGUGACUUGAUUUUCUCACUGUGGGCCGGGAGGAUAUCACACUGAUGUGCUAUAUAUGGAUUGUCGACAAGUCAAAGUGAUAUGCAAUCUUGAAGAAGGCAAACCGCCAUAUUUUCCAAAUGUGCCGCUUUAUGUAGAACUACAGUCGUUGCACAAGUGAUGUCUUAUUCGUGCUAUGGAGCAGUGGGCAUGGUAUGUCUGCUUUAAUUUGGUCCUCUUUUCUCUGAUGUAUGCAUGUUUUUAAGAAGCAAUGGUGGUUCGCUCUGGGGGCACUGCGGCUGAUUUCUCUUGGACUAGUUAUUCAAAGUUUCGAUGUAGUUUUGUUGCGUGUACUAGUGUUGUCUCUGUAUUACCAAUGGUUCUGGACAGCGGGAGAUGGUGAUACACUUCGGAUGAUUACAUUGCCACUUUCAUUUGGUGCUAUUUUCUUGUUCCGUGUUUUAAAUAGGUUGUGUUAGCUGAACAUCACAGCUACAAUGCUGCUCUUAAUAGGAAAUAUUGUGGAUCAUAA